rnacentral:rRNA from 1 species
CCAGACUCCUACGGGAGGCAGCAGUGGGGAAUAUUGGGCAAUGGGCGCAAGCCUGACCCAGCAACGCCGCGUGAAGGAAGAAGGCUCUCGGGUUGUAAACUUCUUUUAUCAGGGACGAAGCAAGUGACGGUACCUGAUGAAUAAGCCACGGCUAACUACGUGUCAGCAGCCGCGGUAAUACGUAGGUGGCAAGCGUUGUCCGGAUUUACUGGGUGUAAAGGGCGUGUAGCCGGGCUGACAAGUCAGAUGUGAAAUCCGGGGGCUCAAUCCCCGAACUGCAUUUGAAACUGUUGGUCUUGAGUAUCGGAGAGGCAGGCGGAAUUCCUAGUGUAGCGGUGAAAUGCGUAGAUAUCAGGAGGAACACCGGUGGCGAAGGCGGCCUGCUGGACUGCAACUGACGUUGAGGCCCGAAAGCGUGGGGAGCAAACAGGAUUAGAUACCCGAGUAGU